AACGCGAAGAACCUUACCUACCCUUGACAUGUCUGGAAUCCUGAAGAGAUUUGGGAGUGCUCGAAAGAGAGCCAGAACACAGGUGCUGCAUGGCCGUCGUCAGCUCGUGUCGUGAGAUGUUGGGUUAAGUCCCGCAACGAGCGCAACCCUUGUCAUUAGUUGCUACGAAAGGGCACUCUAAUGAGACUGCCGGUGACAAACCGGAGGAAGGUGGGGAUGACGUCAGGUCAUCAUGGCCCUUAUGGGUAGGGCUACACACGUCAUACAAUGGCCGGGACAGAGGGCUGCCAACCCGCGAGGGGGAGCUAAUCCCAGAAACCCGGUCGUAGUCCGGAUCGUAGUCUGCAACUCGACUGCGUGAAGUCGGAAUCGCUAGU
rnacentral:rRNA from 1 species